rnacentral:rRNA from 1 species
UACAGAGGUGCUCAAGCGUUGUUCGGAUUCAUUGGGCGUAAGGGUGCGUAGGUGGCGCUGUAAGUCGGGUGUGAAAUUUCGGAGCUUAACUCCGAAACUGCAUUCGAUACUGCGGUGCUUGAGGACUGGAGAGGAGACUGGAAUUCAUGGUGUAGCAGUGAAAUGCGUAGAUAUCGUAAGGAAGACCAGUGGCGAAGGCGGGUCUCUGGACAGUUCCUGACGCUGAGGCACGAAGGUCAGGGGAGCAAACGGG